rnacentral:rRNA from 1 species
GACGAACCGUGCGAACGUUGUUCGGAAUCACUGGGCUUAAAGGGCGCGUAGGCGGGCUGCCAAGUUCGGGGUGAAAUCCUCCGGCUCAACCGGAGAACGGCCCCGAGUACUGGCGGUCUCGAGGCGGGUAGGGGCGUGCGGAACACUGGGUGGAGCGGUGAAAUGCGUUGAUAUCCAGUGGAACUCCGGUGGCGAAGGCGGCACGCUGGACCCGAUCUGACGCUGAGGCGCGAAAGCCAGGGGAGCGAACGGG